UUUCUGCCACCGAGAUACAUUAGCAUGGGAUAAUGGAAUAGGACCCUGUCCUCCUAUUUUCAGUUGGUUUUGGCAGCGCGAGGACUAGGGUAAUGAUUAAUAGGGAUAGUUGGGGGCAUUAAUAUUUAAUUGUCAGAGGUGAAAUUCUUGGAUUUAUGAAAGAUUAACUUCUGCGAAAGCAUCUGCCAAGGAUGUUUUCAUUAAUCAAGAACGAAAGUUAGGGGAUCGAAGACGAUCAGAUACCGUCGUAGUCUUAACCAUAAACGAUGCCGACCAGCGAUUAGGAGACGUUGAAUACAAAACACCACCAUCGGUGCGGUCGUCCUUGGCGUCGGUCUCAAAAGCCGGCGUUUCUGCCACCGAGAUACAUUAGCAUGGGAUAAUGGAAUAGGACCCUGUCCUCCUAUUUUCAGUUGGUUUUGGCAGCGCGAGGACUAGGGUAAUGAUUAAUAGGGAUAGUUGGGGGCAUUAAUAUUUAAUUGUCAGAGGUGAAAUUCUUGGAUUUAUGAAAGAUUAACUUCUGCGAAAGCAUCUGCCAAGGAUGUUUUCAUUAAUCAAGAACGAAAGUUAGGGGAUCGAAGACGAUCAGAUACCGUCGUAGUCUUAACCAUAAACGAUGCCGACCAGCGAUUAGGAGACGUUGAAUACAAAACACCACCAUCGGUGCGGUCGUCCUUGGCGUCGGUCUCAAAAGCCGGCG
rnacentral:rRNA from 1 species